UACGUAGGGUGCAAGCGUUGUCCGGAAUUAUUGGGCGUAAAGAGCUCGUAGGCGGUCUGUCGCGUCGGCUGUGAAAACCCGGGGGCUCAACCCCGGGCCUGCAGUCGAUACGGGCAGACUAGAGUGCGGUAGGGGAGACUGGAAUUCCUGGUGUAGCGGUGAAAUGCGCAGAUAUCAGGAGGAACACCGGUGGCGAAGGCGGGUCUCUGGGCCGAUACUGACGCUGAGGAGCGAAAGCAUGGAUAGCGAACAGG
rnacentral:rRNA from 1 species